UACGUAGGGUGCAAGCGUUGUCCGGAAUUAUUGGGCGUAAAGGGCUCGUAGGCGGUCCAUCGCGUCGGGAGUGAAAAGCUGGGGCUCAACCCCAGUCCUGCUUUCGAUACGGGUGGACUAGAGGUAUGCAGGGGAGAACGGAAUUCCUGGUGUAGCGGUGAAAUGCGCAGAUAUCUGGAGGAACACCGGUGGCGAAGGCGGCAUCCUGGACCGAGAUUGACGCUGAGGCGCGAAAGCUAGGGGAGCAAACGGG
rnacentral:rRNA from 1 species